rnacentral:rRNA from 1 species
UUUCCAGACUCCUACGGGAGGCAGCAGUAGGGAAUCUUUCACAAUGGGCGAAAGCCUGAUGGAGCAACGCCGCGUGCAGGAUGAAGGCCUUCGGGUUGUAAACUGCUUUUAUAAGCGAGAAAUAUGAUGGUAACUUAUGAAUAAGGAUCGGCUAACUACGUGCCAGCAGCCGCGGUCAUACGUAGGGGGCAAGCGUUAUCCGGAUUUACUGGGUGUAAAGGGAGCGUAGACGGCAUGGCAAGCCAGAUGUGAAAUACCGGGGCUCAACCCCGGGACUGCAUUUGGAACUGUUAAGCUGGAGUGUCGGAGAGGCAGGCGGAAUUCCUAGUGUAGCGGUGAAAUGCGUAGAUAUUAGGAGGAACACCAGUGGCGAAGGCGGCCUGCUGGACGAUAACUGACGUUGAGGCUCGAAAGCGUGGGGAGCAAACAGGAUUAGAUACCCCUGUAC